UUUAUUUCAGGUCAUGGGACCAACACUUUACAUGUUGCGUUCAUAUUUUUUUUCAGUGUAUUUUGUCAGCUCUUUCAACCCUGUCAGGGGGCUGGUCAGAGCUAUUACAUUUUUAUAUUUAUCCAUUAAAAGCAAAGGGGUCGAGUCUCUGGGGAAACAAUUAUCUUUAUGACAUUUCCUCUCUGCUGUGUCCAGGCAAAUGUUAUGUGCAAUUUAUGACACCACCUAUUUCAAUAUGAACAAUUCACUUGUCUCGAUCAUUGGCACCAUUACUGCUGAAUAAUUACAGUCAAAUCUCUGUACACUGACUGGCCUCACACCGUUCUCUUUUUUGACGCCUGCGGCCUCUUGCUGAUGACGUUUUAUUUAGGGGACGAAAGUUAGCUAGAAUCGAUAGCUAGCUACAACGCUUCAAAAUGUAUAUAUUAAUGUUUUACGCAUUGUAGCUUUGGUUUAAAGUCCCAAUCCCGCGUAGACUUCAAGUAUCGUUUCGAUCAUUUGCAGUGAAAUGUUGGUGACGUUAACUAAUUGAAUUAAUCUAAUCAUUUACAGAGAUAGCUUGUAGGAAAUGAUUAGCUAGCGAGCUUGUUUUGUUGCUAGCAAGAGUAAUGGGAACAACAAUGGGAAAAGGGGAUACCUAGCCAGUUGCACAACAAUGUAUUGAAAUGUGUCUUCCGCAUAAUAUGGUAGUAAUGUAACUAGUUAGUGAUCCAGCUUAGCUAGCUAUGCUGACAUUGUUUUUUGAGUUGCCAAGAUAGCUGUAGUUUUAGGGUAAUUAGCUAAUAUGAUUGUUCUUAGUAAAAUUCAUAUUACUCAGUGUGUAUCUCUGGUUGACGCUCCAAGUGAGAGAGGCUUCGAGAUGUUGUGGUCAUAUCAGUUAUCAGAGAGGAAGAAAUAAAGCAAUAACUUACACUAGAAAAUCUUUGACAAUACCCAGUGUUGGUGUUUUUUUAAAUAGACUAGCUACAUACCGUCCUAUAGAGCUCUAACCUGUGGUUGGUGUCUAAAGUCACAGAGACAGCCAGGUAGAGCUGUGCAAAGAUGGAUGUCCAGUUGUCUAUCAGCUUCCUGAGGGACAGACUGGGUGGGGCCAUUGAGGAGGCAGUGCGUACAGCAGUGGAGUCUGUGCUGUGUGAGACUGUGCGUCUGUUAACCGGGCUCCAAGGGGACCAGCAGCAUGGACUUUCUUCAGUGACCCUGAGGGACCAGGACACCCUGGGACUGAAGCAGAGGUUAGAGGCCCCCAGCGGGGGUGACUGGAGGGUGCAGGCUGGGUCUUCAGGGGCAUUCUGUAACACAGGACCGAGGGGUAGUGGUGGGUGCAGCAACACUAAGAAUCCAAUGGGUCAGACUACUUGCUCAACCUCCCAAGCAUCACAAAGGACCACUGUGGAGCCCCAACCCCAAGAGGUGGUGGAGGACUGUGCUGGACUGCCUGACCCGUUUGACCUUGUGUCGGCUGGGCCAGUGAUGGUGGACUUUGAGGAGGGUCAGGGCAUGGGGAUCCCAGAGGAGUGGGAGCUGAUGAACAGAGUGUACAAGACAGAGCACAAUGAAGACAUGGCCCUUAUUGACGGGGGCGGUAGCACUCAAUUUGCAGAUGACCACAGGCUGCAUGAAGGAGACCAGAGGACUGUGGCUGUGCCCCUGGAAGGAGAGAUGGCUGCCAAGCCCCAGGACACAUUGCACCCCUGUUUCAGCCCAGCCAACAUCAAAACAGAGCGACCUGAGAUAGAGAGAUGCUGCAUGGCUGAGGAGGCCCUUGCUCUGCCUCUGCCUCAUCCUGCCAAUAGUGGUGUGGAGGCCGGUGACUUUGGGCAGGAGCAGGUGGAGGCUGGUCCACAGGACUUUGUAGGUCGCCUGCGCCUGUGGCUGGAGCAGCUAUGUCCUGAGGUGGUCCGGGAGUACGAGAGGGAGGGCUGUCUGUGUGAGCUGUCCCGCAGGAAGCUUAUCAAGUUCUCUGUGUCCUUCAUCGUGGAGGAGUUUGGAUUCUACCCUACCUCUGCUCAGAAGACCAUGCUGGCAGAGCACAUAGUGGAGCUCUUCCCAGGACUCAGGCUCUGUGCACCCUCUGCUGGCAUCAAUGGCAUAGAACACUUGUACGACCCUUUGUCCCGUACGGGUUACAUUGAGACGCGCCUGCGCAACUCUCGACGCACCCUUGAAGACCACAAGAAGAAGUAUGUGCUGAAGAGGCGUCGGCCAGAGCCAGGCCUAGCGGACCCUCCUGGACCUAGAUCGGGGCCUGGGCUCCUGGAGAGACAGUCCAGCGAGGAGACCCAGAGGUGGAUGGAGCUGAUGAAGAGAACCAGGCCCCUGACCAGGAACCUGCCUGCCAUCCACAGUGCUAUGGACCUCACAUUCAACGCACGCAGGAGAUGGAUCAGCAACACACGGCCUAGUAUGAGGGCUGUGCUGGCUGAGUACCCACGUUUUCUUGACGUUCCCGCCACGAUUGACCUGGAGUUUGAGAGGAUGUUCCCAGGUAAAGGCCACUCCUUCCUGGCCCAGUGGUCGUCGUUCGUGUUGCCCAGGGUGUACCAGAUUGCAGAGUGUGAAAAACACCCGGACAUCUCUGCACUUCUCCAACUGGCUGCCACACAGCAAGGAGACUCCUACACCCUGACUAUGCUGAAGGUCCUGAUCUAUGUACUAACAUCAACAAACACCAGUAGAGCCUCCUUACCCUCCAGGAGCAGUGUCAGGCAGGUCAUUCGGUAUCUGGUGGACAUUGUACCGAUAGACACCAUGGUGUCCUCCUUAUUCUGUGACCGUACCUCCUUGGAGGGCCCAGAGUCUGUGUCCCACGCUCAGCCCUACAUAUUGAGCGUGGGGCCCCUGGAGGCCCCUGGCCGGCAGCUUUGUAUCGUGUUCCCUGUUGAUAGGAUUGCAAUCCCCCUGCCUCAGGAGGGCCUGAGCAAUGCACUGGACAAGCUUUUCAAGCUUCUGCGUGUGUUUGAACUGGGGUACCCAGAUCAGCUAGCCUCCCUGUAUGGCUUCCUUGAGCACCUGUAUGGGCUGGAGAUGACCCCACAAGAUAACCAUGACUCCCCCAGUGGCAAGGGGUCAAAAGUGCUUGAACUUUUAUCACGGCUCCACAUGCCCUCCUGACAGAAGGCAUAGGUCUACACAAGAAUUGAACUCGCCCCACAGACUUACCUUUUAUUUUUUUGAUUGAUAUUUUAUUAUAGCCAUCCUUUACUAUGUUCUGGAUUUGCCCCAAAAUUAAAGUAUGUCGGACUGAACUGAACACUGGUGUUAUACCUUCAUUAUACCGUACCAGUCAAAAGUUUGGACACACCUAAUCAUUCAAGGGUUUUUCUUUAUUUUUACUAUUUUCUACAUUGGAUGUAUUCACUAUUAUUCUACAAACUAUGAAAUAACACGUAUGGCAUCAUGUAAUAAGGAAUUUCUUUCCUUAAUGCAUUUGAGCCAAUCAGUUGUGUUGUAGGGGUGGUAUACAGAAGAUAUACCUACUUGGUAAAAUACAAAGUCCAUAUUAUGGCAAGAAUAGCUCAAAUAAGCAAAGAGUUAGCAAAAAGAGAGUCCAUCAUUACUUUAAGACAUGAAGGUAGGUAAAUCUGGAAAAUGUAAAAAAAACGUUUAAAAUUACUUCAAGUGCAGUCACUAAAACCAUUAAGCGCUAUGAUGAAACUGGUUCUCAUGAGGACCGCCACAGGAAAGGAAGACCCAGAGUUACCUCUGCUGCAGAGGAUAAGUUCAUUAGAGUUACCAGCCUCAGAAAUUGCGGCCCAAAUAAAUGCUUCACAGAGUUCAAGUAACAGACAUCUCAACAUCAACUGUUCAGGGGAGACUGCGUGAAUCAGGCCUUCAUGGUCAAAUUGCUGCAAAUAAACCAGUACUAAAGGACACCAAUAAGGAGAAGAGACUUGCUUGUGCAAAGAAACACGAGCAAUGGACAUUAGACCGGUGGAAUUCUGUCCUUUGGUCUGAUGAGUCCGAAGUUGAGAUUUUUGGUUCCAACCGCCGUGUCUUUGUGAGACGCAGAGUAGGUGAACAGAUGAUCUUUGCAUGUGUGGUUCCCACCGUGAAACAUGGAGGUGGUGUGGUGGUGCUUUGCUGGUGACACUGUCAGUGCUUUAUUUAGAAUUCAAGGCACACUUAACCAGCAUGGCUACCACAGCAUUCUGCAGCGAUACAAGGGCUAUUUGACCAAGAAGGAGAGUGAUGUAGUGCUGCAUCAAAUGACCUGGCCUCCACAAUCACCGACCUCAACUCAAUUGAGAUGGUUUGGGAUGAGUUGGACCGCAGAGUGAAGAAAAAGCAGCCAACAAGUGCUCAGCAUAUGUGGGAACUCCUUCAAGACUGUUGGAAAAUCUUUCCUCAUGAAGCUGGUUGAGAGAAUGCCAAGAGUGUGCAAAGCUGUCGAGGCAAAGGGUGGCUACUUUGAAGAAUAUAAAAUAAACUUCCCUGUGGCUCAGUUGGUAGAGCAUGGUGUGUGCAACGCCAGGGUUGUGGGUUCGAUUCCCACGGGGGGCCAGUACCAAAAAAAAUAUAUUUUUUAAAUGCAUGAAAUAAAAUGUAUGCAUUCACUACUGUAAGUUGCUCUGGAUAAGAGCGUCUGCUAAAUAACUAAAAUGUAAAUGUUAACAAAUCCAAAAUUAUUUUAGCCUCUAUGGGCUAGGUGGGACGCUUGCGUCCCACCUACUCAACAGCCACUUUAAGCCUGUGGCGCGAUUUUCAAAACCUUAAAUCCGAUUACUUCAAUUUCUCAAACAUAUGACUAUUUUACAGCUAUUUAAAGACAAGACUCUCGUUAAUCUAACCACACUGUCCGAUUUCAAAAAGGCUUUACAACGAAAGCAAAACAUUAGAUUAUGUCAGCAGAGUACCAAGCCAGAAAUAAUCAGACACCCAUUUUUCAAGCCAGCAUAUAAUGUCACCAAAACCCAGAAGACAGCUAAAUGCAGCACUCACCUUUGAUGAUCUUCAUCAGAUGACAACCCUAGGACAUUAUGUUAUACAAUACAUGCAUGUUUUGUUCAAUCAAGUUCAUAUUUAUAUCAAAAACCAGCUUUUUACAUUAGCAUGUGACGUUCAGAACUAGCAUACCCCCGCAAACUUCCGGGGAAUUCGCUAACAUUUUACUAAAUUACUCACGAUAAACGUUCACAAAAAGCAUAACAAUUAUUUUAAGAAUUAUAGAUACAGACCUCCUCUAUGCACUCGAUAUGUCCGAUUUUAAAAUAGCUUUUUGGUGAAAGCACAUUUUGCAAUAUUCUAAGUACAUAGCCCAGGCAUCACGGGCUCGCUAUUUAGACACCCGGCAAGUUUAGCACUCACCAUAAUCAUAUUUACUAUUAUAAAAGUUUGAUUACCUUUUGUUGUCUUCGUCAGAAUGCACUCCCAGGACUGCUACUUCAAUAACAAAUGUUGGUUUAGUCCAAAAUAAUCCAUCGUUAUAUCCGAAUAGCG
rnacentral:lncRNA from 1 species